rnacentral:rRNA from 1 species
AAUAUUGGACAAUGGGCGCAAGCCUGAUCCAGCCAUGCCGCGUGAGUGAUGAAGGCCUUAGGGUUGUAAAGCUCUUUCACCGGUGAAGAUAAUGACGGUAACCGGAGAAGAAGCCCCGGCUGACUUAGUGCCAGCAGCCGCGGUAAUACGCAGGGGGCUAGCGUUGUUCGGAAUUACUGGGCGUAAAGCGGACGUAGGCGGAUUAUUAAGUCAGGGGUGAAAUCCCGCAGCUCAACUGCGGAACUGCCUUUGAUACUGGUAAUCUAGAGACCGGGAGAGGUAAGUGGAACUCCUAGUGUAGAGGUGGAAUUCGUAGAUAUUAGGAAGAACACCAGUGGCGAAGGCGGCUUACUGGCUCGGAACUGACGCUGAGGUGCGAAAGCGUGGGGAGCAAAC